AUUUUUCCCGCAAUAAACUUGGGAAGAAGAUAUUUUCACCUCUCAUGGCUGCCAUUCGUUUUCGCGCGGCAAAGCUCCAAAGCAUUCUGAUUCAAUCAACUACCGAACCAUCCAUGUUUGUAAAUUGCAAUGGCGACGAUCUUCCCUUUUCAAUCACGUACGUCUCUUCAAACAUCUCUCAACGCCAUUCGACCUAAUCGCCCUCUCAAAAUCUGCACAAUCCGAUGUCAAGGGGACAAUCCCGCUACCGAUUCGCCGAAGAAUCAAGAAUCUAAGCCCGAGAAUGCGGUGCUGAAGGUCGCUUGGUAUGGCUCCGAGCUCUUGGGGAUCGCCGCUUCAUUUCUCCGUCCGCCGACGGAUGUUGAAACGCCUGUUAGGGCUCAGGAGCUUGCGAGAGAUGUGUCCGGUGCAAUUCGUCGCCCUGUGAUUGUGGAAACGAUUAAGAAGGAUUUUGAGCGGUCGUACUUCGUCACAGGGAACCUUACUGUUGAAGCUUAUGAAGAGCAGUGCGAAUUUGCUGAUCCGGCUGGUUCUUUCAAAGGUCUUAGCCGAUUUAAAAGAAACUGUACAAAUUUUGGAUCCCUUGUUGAUAAGUCAAACAUGAAGCUUACCAAAUGGGAGGAUUUUGAGGACAAGGGCAUUGGACAUUGGAAGUUCAGUUGUAUCUUGUCAUUUCCUUGGAGACCAAUUCUAUCUGCAACUGGAUAUACAGAGUAUUAUUUUGAUGCAGGAUCUGGAAAAGUAAGCAGGCAUGUAGAACACUGGAAUGUUCCUAAAAUGGCUUUACUGAACCAAAUUUUGAGACCCACUCGAGCUUGGUUGUGGUUUAAGAAACCAGGUGCUGACUGAUUCUUCUUUCUCAUAAGAACACAGCUUAGAUCAUAAACCUUUUCUUGUAAAUGUUUUAAUUUGAUUUAGAAAUCAUAUUUUGUGGGGUAAUGUAAGGAAAUUAUAUGUAAUAGAGAGAAUUGCAAAGAAACUUAGUCAUGGGUUAAAGGACAAGUAAGAACACUUAGCUCUUCCGAUAAGGAAUCACUCUAGGGAAGAGUAAAAUUUGGAUAACUUUGAUCACAUUUGUUUGAGAUUUGAAUCAUUCUACAAGUAAGAUCAAUUAUAUCAAGCCUGAUUUUAAACUA